CACACACUGACAGACACAGAUACACACAGACACACUGACAGACAUACACACACACACACUGACAGACAUACACACACACACACUGACAGACAUAGAUACACACACACACACACUGACAGACAUAGAUACACACACACACACACUGACCAACAGGUUCAGAAGGGGGGCUUACCUGGGAUCCAAAGUGCUGCCUGAAGUAGUUGGGAGUUGGAGGAGCUGGUCCUGCCCAGCCCCCUCCUCUCUGCCUUUUGCUGCUGUAGUCUUCUUGGGAGGACUUCCUCCCAUGCUGAUUAGAUGGGGGCCCG